rnacentral:lncRNA from 1 species
GCGACAUAAGAGGAAACUAUACUAUUUUGAUGAAUAGAUUAGUAUACUAUAAUGUAAUGUUUAUUCAAAUAUUGUAUGAAAGCUAUAUAAACUGUCAAUACAAACAUGUACGUGAAUCUCCAUUAACUUAGAGCAUUCAUUCAACACAAUAGCAAAAUAAUAUCCUUUAUAAAGCAUGAAAUUUCAAAACGCAAAUACACAUUACCACUCAAUGUAUAAAUUAGGUGAACUAUUCUAUUUUAAUACAGUAUAGUAUAAACUUCGGUCGAAAUGUUUAAAAUAUCCGAUUAAAAAUUUCCAAAUUAUGAUAUAUGUAAAAAAAAUAUGUAUGUUUUUGCCAGCAUAGUUAAUUGAAUGAAUUAUGUUUGACAUAAAAGCUACAUACCAAAAAAAUUGACAGAGGGAGAAGAAAAACAAAAGAAAUGAAAGAAGAAAAAGAAAGAUGAAGAGAUGAUCAAACGGCUGAGGAUGAUCAAGGGUAAGUGAUGUAAUAUUACAUAAGAUAUACAGAAUAUUAUAGCAUGCUUGUUACUAUGUGCAUAAACCUAUUUUUUUUUCUGCUAUGGAUAUGUGUCCUAGUUCCCCUACAUAAAAUUUGUAGAUUCGUUAAAUCUAAGGAUUAAUACAGAAAACACAAUUUUUGUAGGUAUAAAAUAUUUAAAGGUUCGGGUUGUUCUAAGUAAAAUGGGAAAUUUGCCAAUAUGGAACUAAAUCUCUAAAGUAUUGUCUCCUUAGAACUAAAUUCACAAACCUUGUCCGUAUAGAAGUAAUCCUUCUCCGUAUAGAACUAAUACCUAGUGAAUCUACUGUUUUGUCCUUUUCUUUACAAUAUAGUUAAUAAAAUUUUUAAAAAAUUAUAUGAAUUAAAAAGUACAUACUUAAUUGAAUAAAAAUAGGGCAAAAUAUUCCAAAUAUCAAUCUCAUUCUCUCCGACUCUCUUUCCCAAUCGAGAGAAGAUUUUUUUCUCGCCGGCGACACCUUCCGCCUCUGAGAUUCUUGGUUCG